rfam:Oryza glumipatula chromosome 11, whole genome shotgun sequence.
UUUAAGUACAACCAUAGUUUCCGUGCCCAACUUUGAUCAUUCGUCUUAUUUGAAUUUUUUUUAUAAUUAGUAUUUUUAUUGUUAUGAGAUGAGAAAACAUGAAUAGUAAUUUAUACGUGACUUAUGUCUUUAAAUUUUUUAAAAUUUUUUCAAAUAAGACGGACGAUUAAAGUUAUGUAUGGAAAAUCAUGGCUGCACAACAC